rnacentral:rRNA from 1 species
CGCCUGUUUAUCAAAAACAUCUUUUCUUGUUAGUUUCUGAAGUAUGGCCUGCCCGCUGACGUUAUAUUAAGUUGAAGGGCCGCGGUAUUUUGACCGUGCAAAGGUAGCAUAGUCAUUAGUUCUUUAAUUGUGAUCUGGUAUGAAUGGCUUGACGAGACAUGGGCUGUCUUAAGGUGUGGAAUUUGUUGUUGAAUUUUGAGUUUGAGUUAAAAUUCUUAGAUGUUUUUAUGGGACGAGAAGACCCUAUAGAGUUUGACAUUUGAUUGCGUAUAUCUUGUUGUUUGUUUUAAAUUUUUGCGUGUCUCUUGUUUUGUUGGGGUGAUGGGAGGAAUUUAUUUAACUCCUCUUUUUGUGUAGUAUAUUGAUUUAUAUGUAUGUUGAUCCAUUUAUUU